CACGUAGGGCGCAAGCGUUGUCCGGAAUUAUUGGGCGUAAAGAGCUCGUAGGUGGUCUGUUGCGUCCGCUGUGAAAACUCGGGGCUUAACCCCGAGCCUGCAGUGGAUACGGGCAGACUAGAGGUAGGUAGGGGAGAAUGGAAUUCCUGGUGUAGCGGUGAAAUGCGCAGAUAUCAGGAGGAACACCGAUGGCGAAGGCAGGUCUCUGGGCCACUACUGACGCUGAGAAGCGAAAGCAUGGGGAGCGAACAGG
rnacentral:rRNA from 1 species